rnacentral:rRNA from 1 species
AUGGCAGGGCCGAGCAUGCCGCAGCCUCUGCUUGUUGCUCUCCUCCUCCUGGGGUUCUUGCUGCUCAUCCAUGUCCCUUAUGCUGCGCCUCAGUCCUUCAUCGGCAUCAACUACGGCGACAUCGCCGACAACCUGCCGCCGCCGGCGUCGACGGCGCGGCUCCUCAAGUCCACCACCAUCGGCAAGGUGCGCCUCUACAGGACCGACCCGGCCGUGGUGGCCGCCUUCGCCGGCACGAGCAUCUCCCUGCUCCUCGGCGCCGCCAACGCCGACAUCCCCUCCUUCGCCUCCUCGCCGUCCGCCGCCGCCGCCUGGGUCGCCGCGCACCUCCCGUCCUCCUCGUCGCCCGCCGUCAACGGCAUCUCCGUCGGCAACGAGGUGCUCUACUCGGGCGACGCCGCGCUCAUCUCGCAGCUGGUCCCGGCGCUGCAGAACAUCUACGACGCGCUGCCGGCCAACUCCGGCAUCAAGGUGUCCACCGUGAACGCCAUGGACGUGCUGGCGUCGUCUGACCCGCCGUCGUCGGGGGCCUUCAAGCCGGAGCUGUCCGCCGCGCUGGACCCGCUGCUGGCCUUCCUCAGCAAGACCGGCUCGCCGUUCCUGGUGAACCCGUACCCCUACUUCGCGUACCAGGACGACCCGCGGCCGGACACGCUGGCCUUCUGCCUCUUCCAGCCCAACGCCGGGCGGCCGGACGCCGGGUCCGGGCUCACCUACACCAGCAUGUUCGACGCGCAGGUGGACGCCGUGCGCGCCGCGCUGGACGCCAAGGGGUACAAGGACGUGGAGGUGGUGGUGGCCGAGACCGGGUGGCCGCACAGCGGCGGCGCCGACGAGGCCGGCGCCUCCGUGGAGAACGCGCGCGCCUUCGUGUCCAAUCUCGUCUCCCACCUCCGGUCCAUGGUCGGCACGCCGCGGAUGCCCGGCAAGUCCGUCGACACCUACCUCUUCGCCGUGUACGACGAGGACCUCAAGCCAGGGAAGGCGUCGGAGAAGUCCUUUGGGCUGUUCCAGACCACGCUCACCGAGACGUACCCGACGGGGCUGAUGAGGAACGGCACCGCGGGCCUGGCGCCGGCUCCGGCGCCGACCGUGCGGCCGGCGAGCCCCCCGCCGGCGAUACCGCAGGUGACGCCGGUGCAGCCACAGCCAAGCGCGGCGUCAGCGGCGACGGCGCCGCCUCGUCAUGUUCGUAGUGCUGCAGAAUUGCCUCGCACCAUCUCCGCGCUCCAUGUGUCUGCUUGUUUCUUGUUCAUGUCUCUGCUAGUCUGA